rnacentral:rRNA from 1 species
CGUAGGCAGCGGGCGUUGUUCGGAGUUACUGGGCGUAAAGGGUGUGUAGGCGGUUGUUUAAGUUUGGUGUGAAAUCUCCCGGCUCAACUGGGAGGGUGCGCCGAAUACUGAAUGACUUGGAGUGCGGGAGAGGUGAGCGGAAUUCCUGGUGUAGCGGUGAAAUGCGUAGAUAUCAGGAGGAACACCGGUGGUGUAGACGGCUCACUGGACCGUAACUGACGCUGAGACACGAAAGCGUGGGUAGCAAACAGGAUUAGAUACCCUGGUAGUCCACGCCCUAAACGAUGCAUAUUUGGUGUGGGCAGUUCAUUCUGUCCGUGCCGGAGCUAACGCGUUAAAUAUGCCGCCUGGGGAGUACAGUCGCAAGGCUG